GAAAUGCGAUAAGUAAUGUGAAUUGCAGAAUUCAGUGAAUCAUCGAAUCUUUGAACGCACCUUGCGCCCUCUGGCAUUCCGGGGGGCAUGCCUGUCCGAGCGUCAUUACGCACCCUCAAGCCCGGCUUGUGUGAUGGGCCCCGGCGUCUCGUUCGCGAGACGGGCCCGAAAGGCAGCGGCGGCGUCGACCCGAUGAGCCCGAGCGUAUGGGGACUUCUGUCACACGUUCGCGGUGCGGACCGGCGCCUGCUUGACUUUUCUGAUUAUCCAGGUUGACCUCGGAUCAGGUAGGGAUACCCGCUGAACUUAAGC
rnacentral:misc_RNA from 1 species